GAUGAACGCUGGCGGCGUGCCUAAUACAUGCAAGUCGAGCGAACAGAUAAGGAGCUUGCUCCUUUGACGUUAGCGGCGGACGGGUGAGUAACACGUGGGUAACCUAUCUAUAAGACUGGAAUAACUCCGGGAAACCGGGGCUAAUGCCGGAUAACAUGUUGAACCGCAUGGUUCUACAGUGAAAGGCGGCUUUGCUGUCACUUAUAGAUGGACCCGCGCCGUAUUAGCUAGUUGGUGAGGUAACGGCUCACCAAGGCAACGAUACGUAGCCGACCUGAGAGGGUGAUCGGCAACAAUGGAACUGAGACACGGUCCAGACUCCUACGGGAGGCAGCAGUAGGGAAUAUUCCACAAUGGGCGAAAGCCUGACGGAGAAACGCCGCGUGAGUGAUGAAGGUCUUCGGAUCGUAAAACUCUGUUAUUAGGAAAGAACAAAUGCGUAAGUAACUGUGCGCGUCUUGACGGUACCUAAUCAGAAAGCCACGGAUAACUAAGUG
rnacentral:rRNA from 1 species